GGUUCCAUAGUGUAGGAGGCAUCACAUCUGCUUUACACGCAGGAGGUCCUGGGUUCAAUCCCCAGUGGAACCA